rnacentral:rRNA from 1 species
ACGGGAGGCAGCAGUGAGGAAUCUUGCGCAAUGGGCGAAAGCCUGACGCAGCCACGCCGCGUGCCGGAUGAAGGCCCUAUGGGUUGUAAACGGCUUUUACUAGGGAAGAACGAGGAGGUUUUGAUCUUCUGUGACGGUACCUAGUGAAUAAGCACCGGCUAACUCCGUGCCAGCAGCCGCGGUAAUACGGAGGGUGCAAGCGUUGUCCGGAAUCAUUGGGUGUAAAGGGUACGUAGGCGGGAGCCUAAGUCUGGGGUGAAAUCUUGCCGCUUAACGGUAAAAUGGCCUUGGAUACUGGGUUUCUUGAGUGCAGAAGAGGCAGGUGGAAUUCGUGGUGUAGCGGUGAAAUGCAUAGAUAUCACGAAGAACAUCAGUGGCGAAGGCGGCCUGCUGGUCUGCAACUGACGCUGAGGUACGAAAGCGUGGGGAGCGAACAGGAUUAGAUACCCUGGUAGUCCACGCCGUAAACGAUGCAUACUAGG